CACUAUAGCCAUGCCACCCUGAACAUGUCCAAUCCUGUUUGAUCUUGGAAGCUAAGCAGGGUCAGGCCUGGUUAGUAUUUGGAUGGGAGACCACCUAGAAAGACUGGGUGCUGUAGGCA
rnacentral:rRNA from 1 species